rnacentral:rRNA from 1 species
CCAGACUCCUACGGGAGGCAGCAGUGAGGAAUAUUGGUCAAUGGCCGGAAGGCUGAACCAGCCAAGCCGCGUGAAGGACGAAGGUGCCAAGCAUUGUAAACUUCUUUUGUCAAGGGACAAAAUCAGGCUCGAGAGCCUGACCGAGGGUACUUGAAGAAAAAGCAUCGGCUAACUCCGUGCCAGCAGCCGCGGUAAUACGGAGGAUGCGAGCGUUAUCCGGAUUUAUUGGGUUUAAAGGGUGCGCAGGCGGAGGUGCAAGUCAGCGGUCAAAUUGCGGGGCUCAACCCCGUACUGCCGUUGAAACUGUAUCCCUUGAGUGCGCGAGAAGUAUGCGGAAUGCGUGGUGUAGCGGUGAAAUGCAUAGAUAUCACGCAGAACUCCGAUUGCGAAGGCAGCGUACCGGCGCCCAACUGACGCUGAAGCACGAAGGCGUGGGUAUCGAACAGGAUUAGAUACCCUCGUA